rnacentral:rRNA from 1 species
AGAGCGAACGCUGGCGGCAGGCCUAACACAUGCAAGUCGAGCGCCCCGCAAGGGGGAGCGGCAGACGGGAGAGUAACACGUGGGAACGUACCCUUUGGUUCGGAACAACCCAGGGAAACUUGGGCUAAUACCGAAUAAGCCCUUACGGGGAAAGAUUUAUCACCAAAGGAUCGGCCCGCGUCUGAUUAGCUAGUUGGUGAGGUAACGGCUCACCAAGGCGACGAUCAGUAGCUGGUCUGAGAGGAUGAUCAGCCUCACUGGGACUGAGACACGGCCCAGACUCCUACGGGAGGCAGCAGUGGGGGAAUAUUGGACAAUGGGCGCAAGCCUGAUCCAGCCAUGCCGCGUGGGUGAUGAAGGCCCUAGGGUUGUAAAGCCCUUUCGGCGGGGAAGAUAAUGACGGUACCCGCAGAAGAAGCCCCGGCUAACUUCGUGCCAGCAGCCGC